rnacentral:rRNA from 1 species
AUUGAACGCUGGCGGCAGGCCUAACACAUGCAAGUCGAGCGAAUGAAGGGAGCUUGCUCCUGGAUUCAGCGGCGGACGGGUGAGUAAUGCCUAGGAAUCUGCCUGGUAGAGGAGAAUGACGUCACGUAAGGGGCGCUAAUACCGAAUACGUCAGGAUGGAGAACGGGGUGGUUCAUCGGUCCCAACGCUACCAGAUGAGCCUAGGUCGGAUUAGCUAGUUGGUGGGGUAAAGGCCUACCAAGGCGACGAUCCGUAACUGGUCUGAGAGGAUGAUCAGUCACACUGGAACUGAGACACGGUCCAGACUCCUACGGGAGGCAGCAGUGGGGAAUAUUGGACAAUGGGCGAAAGCCUGAUCCAGCCAUGCCGCGUGUGUGAAGAAGGUCUUCGGAUUGUAAAGCACUUUAAGUUGGGAGGAAGAGCAGUAAGUUAAUACCUUGCUGUUUUGACGUUACCAACAGAAUAAGCACCGGCUAACUUCGUG